rnacentral:rRNA from 1 species
AUUGAACGCUGGCGGCAUGCCUUACACAUGCAAGUCGAACGGUAACAGGUCUUCGGAUGCUGACGAGUGGCGAACGGGUGAGUAAUACAUCGGAACGUGCCCGAUCGUGGGGGAUAACGAAGCGAAAGCUUUGCUAAUACCGCAUACGAUCUACGGAUGAAAGCAGGGGACCGCAAGGCCUUGCGCGAACGGAGCGGCCGAUGGCAGAUUAAGUAGUUGGUGGGAUAAAAGCUUACCAAGCCGACGAUCUGUAGCUGGUCUGAGAGGACGACCAGCCACACUGGGACUGAGACACGGCCCAGACUCCUACGGGAGGCAGCAGUGGGGAAUUUUGGACAAUGGGCGAAAGCCUGAUCCAGCCAUGCCGCGUGCAGGAUGAAGGCCUUCGGGUUGUAAACUGCUUUUGUACGGAACGAAAAGACUCUGGUUAAUACCUGGGGUCCAUGACGGUACCGUAAGAAUAAGCACCGGCUAACUACGUGCCAGCAGCCGCGGUAAAAC